AACGAACGCUGGCGGCAGGCUUAACACAUGCAAGUCGAGCGCCCCGCAAGGGGAGCGGCAGACGGGUGAGUAACGCGUGGGAACGUACCUUUUGGUUCGGAACAACUCCGGGAAACUGGAGCUAAUACCGGAUAAGCCCUAACGGGGAAAGAUUUAUCGCCGAAAGAUCGGCCCGCGUCUGAUUAGCUAGUUGGUGAGGUAACAGCUCACCAAGGCGACGAUCAGUAGCUGGUCUGAGAGGAUGAUCAGCCACACUGGGACUGAGACACGGCCCAGACUCCGACGGGAGGCAGCAGUGGGGAAUAUUGGACAAUGGGCGCAAGCCUGAUCCAGCCAUGCCGCGUGAGUGAUGAAGGCCUUAGGGUUGUAAAGCUCUUUUGUCCGGGAAGAUAAUGACUGUACCGGAAGAAUAAGCCCCGGCUAACUUCGUG
rnacentral:rRNA from 1 species